ACCGGCAAACGGGUGCGGAACACGUACGCAACCUUCCCAAAACUGGUGAAUAGCCCUCCGAAAGGAGGAUUAAUACACCGUAACAUAUAGAAAUGGCAUCAUUUUUAUAUUAUAGCUCCGGCGGUUUUGGAUGGGCGUGCGACUGAUUAGGUAGUUGGCGGGGUAACGGCCCACCAAGCCUACGAUCAGUAACUGGUGUGAGAGCACGACCAGUCACACGGGCACUGAGACACGGGCCCGACUCCUACGGGAGGCAGCAGUAAGGAAUAUUGGUCAAUGGACGAAAGUCUGAACCAGCCAUGCCGCGUGAAGGAUGAAGGUCCUCUGGAUUGUAAACUUCUUUUAUCUGGGACGAAAAAAGGGCAUUCUUGCUCACUUGACGGUACCAGAGGAAUAAGCACCGGCUAACUCCGUGCCAGCAGCCGCGGUAAUACGGAGGGUGCAAGCGUUAUCCGGAUUCACUGGGUUUAAAGGGAGCGUAGGUGGGCAGGUAAGUCAGUGGUGAAAUCUCCGGGCUUAACCCGGAAACUGCCAUUGAUACUAUCUGUCUUGAAUAUCCUGGAGGUAAGCGGAAUAUGUCAUGUAGCGGUGAAAUGCUUAGAUAUGACAUAGAACACCCAUUGCGAAGGCAGCUUACUACGGGAUUAUUGACACUGAGGCUCGAAAGCGUGGGGAUCAAACAGGAUUAGAUACCCUGGUA
rnacentral:rRNA from 1 species